rnacentral:rRNA from 1 species
UACGGGGGGGGGCAAGCGUUGUUCGGAAUUACUGGGCGUAAAGGGCUCGUAGGCGGCCAACUAAGUCAGACGUGAAAUCCCCAGGCUUAACCUGGGAACUGCGUCUGAUACUGGAUGGCUUGAAUUCGGGAGAGGGAUGCAGAAUUCCAGGUGUAGCGGUGAAAUGCGUAGAUAUCUGGAGGAAUACCGGUGGCGAAGGCGGCAUCCUGGACCGGCAUUGACGCUGAGGAGCGAAAGCCAGGGGAGCAAACGGG